UACGGGGGGGGGCAAGCGUUGUUCGGAAUUACUGGGCGUAAAGGGCUCGUAGGUGGCCAACUAAGUCAGACGUGAAAUCCCUCAGCUUAACUGGGGAACUGCGUCUGAUACUGGAUGGCUUGAGUUUGGGAGAGGGACGCGGAAUUCCAGGUGUAGCGGUGAAAUGCGUAGAUAUCUGGAGGAACACCGGUGGCGAAGGCGGCGUCCUGGACCAACACUGACACUGAUGAGCGAAAGCCAGGGGAGCAAACGGG
rnacentral:rRNA from 1 species